CAGCCGCCACGGUAAUACGAAGGGGGCUAGCGUUGCACGGAAUGACUGGGCGUAAAGGGCGCGUAGGCGGAUUGUUUAGUUAGGCGUGAAAUUCCUGGGCUUAACCUGGGGACUGCGCUUAAUACAGGCAGUCUAGAGUGAGGAAGAGGGUUGUGGAAUUCCCAGUGUAGAGGUGAAAUUCGUAGAUAUUGGGAAGAACACCGGUGGCGAAGGCGGCAACCUGGUCCUUGACUGACGCUGAGGCGCGAAAGCGUGGGGAGCAAACAGGAUUAGAUACCCGCGUAGUCCCUGUCUCUUAUAC
rnacentral:rRNA from 1 species